rnacentral:rRNA from 1 species
GCAAGGGCAAAAGCUGGCUUGACGUGGUUUGGCACCACAACAAACCACGAUGCGAAAGCAGGACCUAGCGAACCAACCAGCCCCGUUAGUAGGGGCGGUUGAUAACAGAAAAGUUACCCCGGGGAUAACUGAGUUGUCUGGAGCAAGAGCCCAUAUCGACCUCCAGGCUUGCUACUUCGAUGUCGUCUCUCUCUAUCCUGGGUGUGCAGAAGCACCCAAGGGUGGGGUUGUUCGCCCAUUAAAAGGGAUCGUGAGAUGGGUUUAGUCCGUCGUGAGACAGGAUUGUUGCUAUGUGCUGGGACCGUUUUGUGCCUGAAGGAAAGGGCCCCUUAGUACGAGAGGAACGGGGGCUCGCAGCCACUAGUUUACCAGUUGUCCGACAGGGCAUUGCUGGGCAGCCACGCUGCAAGGGAUAAGAGCUGAAAGCAUCUAAGCUCGAAACCCACCCCAAGACGAGGCACGUUGACGCCCGUAGAAGACGGGACGAUAGGACCGGGGUGUACGCACCGAGAAUUACAGUGGCGCUAGAAACCGCUUCGGCGGCGGAAGGUGCCACUUCGAGGUGUUCAGCCCGCCGGUUACUAAGAGUCAUUACUGCUAUCAGG